rnacentral:rRNA from 1 species
GACGAACGCUGGCGGCGUGCUUAACACAUGCAAGUCGAACGGAAAGGCCCCUUUGGGGGUACUCGAGUGGCGAACGGGUGAGUAACACGUGAGUAACCUGCCCUUGACUUCGGGAUAACUUCAGGAAACUGGGGCUAAUACCGGAUAGGAAUCCUUGCUGCAUGGUGGGGGUUGGAAAGCUUCGGCGGUUUUGGAUGGACUCGCGGCUUAUCAGCUUGUUGGGGGGGUAGUGGCUUACCAAGGCUUUGACGGGUAGCCGGCCUGAGAGGGCGACCGGCCACAUUGGGACUGAGAUACGGCCCAGACUCCUACGGGAGGCAGCAGUGGGGAAUAUUGCACAAUGGGCGGAAGCCUGAUGCAGCAACGCCGCGGGCGGGAGGACGGCCUUCGGGUUGUAAACCGCUUUCAGCAGGGGCGAAGCUUGUGGUGACGGUACCUGCAGAAGAAGCACCGGCUAACUACGUG